GCAGCAGGAACACCUGGACUGCAACACCUGAGCUCCAGGUGAGGGGACUCGGUGGCUGUGAGCCCCGACAGGUGUGGACCCCAAAAAUGGAGUUUGGACCCCAAAACUGCAGCAGGAACACCUGGACUGUGGCACCUGAGCCCCAGGUGUGGGGACUCCAGAACUGCACACCUGGACAGGUGUGGAACCCAAAAAUCUCCUGUGGAACCCAAAACUGCAGCAGCAACACCUGGACUGCGACACCUGAGCCCCAGGUGUGGGGACUCCAGAACUGCACACCUGGACAGGUGUGGGAACCCAAAAAUCUCCUGUGGAACCCAAAACUGCAGCAGCAACACCUGGACUGUGACACCUGAGCCCCAGGUGAGGGGACUCAUUACCUGUGAGCCCGGACAGGUGUGGACCCCAAAAAUGGAGUUUGGACCCCAAAACAGCAGCAGGAACAGCUGGACUGCGACACCUGAACCUCAGGUGUGGAGACUACAGAACUGCACACCUGGACAGGUGUGGGAACCCAAAAAUCUCCUGUGGAACCCAAAAAGGUGCAGCAAGAACACCUGGACUGCAACACCUGAACCCCAGGUGUGGGAA